rnacentral:lncRNA from 10 species
GGUGUGUUUGUAUCCAGGAGGCAAGCCAAAUCAGUCUCCUACAGGACCUGAGAUCCAGGAAUAUUGGGAACAGUGGUGCUGAAAAAUCCUAGCAACUGUUAUCUGUAUUCCCAUAAAGACGGACCUAUAAUCCACCUGCUACUACAUUCUAGAGCCACUCUGAAGUAAAAGGAGAAAAUGUGUUGCUGUAACAAAACCGUAAAAAGCUGUGUGAGAUGGAAUCUGGAGUAUCUAAAGGACUUCAAAAAAGGCAAAAAUGAAACUGUGAAUGUGGCUGCUGAAGACAUCUCCCACCCCCAGCCCUAUAAUUUUCUGAGCUGAUAUAUCGCAAGGACAUGGCAGAAUGCACUUACAAGUGUAUUGGACAGAGAGAGUAUCUUUUGGAACAUUUUU